UCUCAAAUCUCAAACCAAUUCCAUCUUCCAAACACUCUCUUUGUUAACAAAUGGCUAAAUCAACAGACAACUCAUACAUGGAGGGGGAUGUGAUUCCAGAAUACUGCUCUUACAUGUAUGAGGAUGACGCUCCGGAGUUCUUCACAGUAUUAAGCAUUGAAGAACAAUCAAAGAUGGACAAAGGCUCUGGACAACAAAAGUCAAAACACUCUCAGAUGGAAGAAUAUGCUUGAAACAUGGUUGGGAGCAAUUCCACAAGGAACACAACUUGAGAGCUGGAGACUUCUUGACUUUCUAUAUGAUUUCACCCAAUCAUUUCUUUGUGAAAAUGUAUGAAGCUACGGGAUGUGCUAAGGAAAUCCAACAACAACCGGGUUCAUUUGGCCAAGAAACCGACGACGCAUCGUCUUCUCAACCUAUUGCUUCACCUUCUUCCAAAUUAGCCAUGACAAUAUCAAACCGAAAAAGUCUUCACAUACCAAUCCAUUUUUGGAGGACACAUGUGAUAGACAAAGAUAUUGAAGUGACAGUUUUGGAAUUCCAAGAGAAAACAUGGCAAACAAUGUUGAAGAAGGCUGAAGAUAGGGUGAGAAUCUCCACAAGAUGGUCAAGUUUCUACAAAGAAUGCUCUUUGUGUGAUGGAAUGCAAUUGAAGUUUGAGAUGAUAAGCAGCACCCCCCUACAAUCAAAUUUAAAGUGACUAUGGCCGAGUGAUGAAAGUUGACUACAUGGAAUGGUUUGAAAAAUACCCUGAUCAAGUAAGUUAAUUUGAAAAACUCUAUUUUGUGGAACAAACAAUAUGUAUUUAAUCGACUGUGUUUUUAGUACUCUAUUAGUAGUAGGCAAUAUUUUGUAUAUACUCAUGAAUUAGUAUCUAUUUUGUAGCAUAUUAUAUUGAGACUUUGAUAAUAUA